rnacentral:snRNA from 1 species
UGAAAUGAGGAUCAGCUGGGUAGAUCUAUCAUUUCAUUGAUCUCCAGAAAAGAUUAGGCUAAUCUGGCUAGCUAGGCAAAUGUUUCUCAUGUAUUCUCACUACCCCAGGUGUACCCUUCCCAAAGCAGCAAAAAUCAAUUAAAGAAAAUGACUUUUUUUCCCAGAUGCAGGAAUUUUGCUUUCAUUGGUUAAAGGCACAGCUGAGCUCCUUUGCUAGAUCUUGCAGAUUUGCACAUUCAUGGGUGCAGAAUUACUUGAUUGAUCAUGCUUUAAUC